rnacentral:rRNA from 1 species
UACGUAGGGGGCAAGCGUUAUCCGGAAUCACUGGGCGUAAAGGGUGCGUAGGCGGUCUUACAAGUCAGGGGUGAAAGGCUACGGCUCAACCGUAGUAAGCCUUUGAAACUGUAGGACUUGAGUGCAGGAGAGGAGAGUGGAAUUCCUAGUGUAGCGGUGAAAUGCGUAGAUAUUAGGAGGAACACCAGUGGCGAAGGCGACUCUCUGGACUGUAACUGACGCUGAGGCACGAAAGCGUGGGGAGCGAACAGG